rnacentral:rRNA from 1 species
GACGAACGCUGGCGGCGUGCUUAACACAUGCAAGUCGAACGGAGAGGCCCUGCUUUUGUGGGGUGCUCGAGUGGCGAACGGGUGAGUAACACGUGAGUAACCUGCCCUUGACUUUGGGAUAACUUCAGGAAACUGGGGCUAAUACCGGAUAGGAGCUCCUGCUGCAUGGUGGGGGUUGGAAAGUUUCGGCGGUUGGGGAUGGACUCGCGGCUUAUCAGCUUGUUGGUGGGGUAGUGGCUUACCAAGGCUUUGACGGGUAGCCGGCCUGAGAGGGUGACCGGCAACAUUGGGACUAGGAGACGGCCCAGCCGCCUACGGGAGGCAGCGGGGGGAAAUUUUGCACAAUGGGCGGAAGCCUGAUGCAGCAACGCCGCGUGGGGGAUGACGGCCUUCGGGUUGUAAACCUCUUUCGCCUGUGACGAAGCGGGAGUGACGGUAAUGGGUAAAGAAGCACCGGCUAACUACGUG